CAUCUUUUCCGCUUAUUAUCUGUAACGUCGGGCUCCCACAACUCUGUGUAAUAAAACCCAUUACUAAUUGCAGCAAUAGUGAGCCAUGAAACCGUUGCGAUUCCCUCAACAUAUAGCUUUAUAAACAUCAAACCAGGCGAUGACUAUAAGAACAGAGAAAUCCACCGGGAAGGCUCCGCUCAAUUCUUCAAUGAUGUCUCUCCUGGCUUGGCGGAGGCCGAGCUACUUUUCUGGCUAAUCCAUUUCUGGUAGUGGAAUUGCUGCAAAACCUCGUGGAAUUGAGAACGUCAUAACAAUAACUGCAUAUGGGAGUUCGAUCUCAUUGUUGCAAUGGUUGAACAGAACAAAGCCAAACAAUGUGGAUAGCGAAAUCUCAAUGCUAAAAGGAUACUAUGUUUCUCGGAGCUUAUAUUGGUCCUUCCUCUUUAUGAUCAAUUGUUGGUUUCAUAUAUAUAUAUUUUGUAAUCUCAGACUAAAUGUUAACUAAGUUUUGCUCUUAUCUCUUAUUUUACCCAGUUACUGCAAGAGUCAUCAUGGACAUAGACAUGUGGUGGAGCUAAGCGUACGUCAGUGUGAUUAGUAAAAACUAAUCUUCUUAAUUUGUUUUAUCUCUUCGUUAUCAUUUGUCAUGGUUUGGUCGAUUUUUCCGCAAAUCACCAUCUCAAGAUCUGUUUUGGCUUUAAGAUGUAUUUCCAGUGUGUUUCUAGCUACUUUCUACUCUUUUACAUACACUUUAUUUUCCUUUACAUACACUUAUCACUCUCAUUCGCCAAAUACAUAUGGUCUGAUUUAGCUUUUUACUAUUAAAUGUUUUCUUUGCAUAAAACUGUCAAAGGAUUAUCAACGGCAAGACCAUCACUGUACGGUUUUUCAGGUUGGUGCAGCUCUUUCGCUCAACCAGACACAUGGCAUUUGUAGCACGAAGAAGGUCAUAUACCCCAUAUUCAAAGGUCUACAAUUUUAUUUAAAACGUUGGUAUGUUCAGCCUUAUAAUACGUGUUGAGUAACUGAAGAUUACUUAUUCGCUUGGUUUCUCCGAUAUACAUGAGAAGUAUAACAUAAAUAAAUCAUAAAUCACAAUUGUGAUUGGUUACAACAAUUGCAGCUACUCAUACUGUUUUUUUUUGUGCAGUGAUUGGUUAGUAAUACAAAGCAGCUACUUAUACUUUUUUUUUGUUCUUUACAGUUACAACAAUUGCAGCUACUGAUUAGAAAAUAUUCCAAUUGCUCACUUUUCUAUACGCAGCGUUUGAUGUAAUAAUGGUUUAUUUCUCUUCUUCAGGUGUUAAUUGCUGUUGCUAUGAUCCUAGGCGACGGUGUAUACAAACUUGCAAGGUGAGCCGGACCCUUUCCGGACUAUUAAACCAGAUCCGAGGUGGACCUGGUCCGAGAACCUCCUUUCCCAUUGCCACCAAAGAUAUCAUAUGAUGAUCAGCAUAGAACAAGAUCCUUCCUUAAGGACCAAAAUUCCUUCAUGGGUUGCUGGUGGAGGCUAUGAGCUUCGCUUACCUGAAUGGUACUACAUUCUGGUCAUCAGUGUCUUCGCCUUAGUCUUGGCUUUAUGCAAUGCGUUAUGGAGUCAGGCUCACGGUUUGGUCACUAGCCAACCCAUGUUUACAAUCAGAGCAUGGGCUGGUUCAGACCAUGGAGGUCUUCCUGCACAUAUAUAGUAUCCACAGCUUCAGACCUGACACAAGAUUUCAAGAUAGGUUACCUAAUAUUGUCAUCUCCAAGGGAUCUGUGUUGUGAGCCGAGUGAUUGGAACAUAAGUGGGAGGUUUGAUUUCGCCAUGUGUGUUCUGGCUUUUCUACAAGUUUUUACUGUUUUCUGAAUUUCGGCUUGGUUUAGAAUUGAACUGCGAUCUUUGUAUUUGUUUCUGACGUUGUUUCUACAUGUUUGUUUCUUAACUGUCAUUUAAGGUUUUAUUCUUCAGGGGUUAACAGA